AGUGAACGCUGGCGGCGUGCUUAACACAUGCAAGUCGAACGGGAAUCACUUCAUUGAGACUUCGGUGGAUUUGAUUUGAUUCUAGUGGCGGACGGGUGAGUAACGCGUGGGUAACCUGCCUUAUACAGGGGGAUAACAGUCAGAAAUGGCUGCUAAUACCGCAUAAGCGCACAGAGCUGCAUGGCUCAGUGUGAAAAACUCCGGUGGUAUAAGAUGGACCCGCGUUGGAUUAGCUAGUUGGUGGGGUAACGGCCCACCAAGGCGACGAUCCAUAGCCGGCCUGCGAGGGUGAACGGCCACAUUGGGACUGAGACACGGCCCAGACUCCUACGGGAGGCAGCAGUGGGGAAUAUUGCACAAUGGGGGAAACCCUGAUGCAGCGACGCCGCGUGAAGGAAGAAGUAUCUCGGUAUGUAAACUUCUAUCAGCAGGGAAGAUAGUGACGGUACCUGACUAAGAAGCACCGGCUAAAUACGUGCCAGCCGCCGCAGUAA
rnacentral:rRNA from 1 species